UACGUAGGGUGCAAGCGUUGUCCGGAAUUAUUGGGCGUAAAGAGCUCGUAGGCGGCUUGUCGCGUCGUCCGUGAAAACCCACAGCUCAACUGUGGGCUUGCGGUCGAUACGGGCAGGCUAGAGUUCGGUAGGGGAGACUGGAAUUCCAGGUGUAGCGGUGAAAUGCGUAGAGUAUCUGGAGGAAUACCGGUGGCGAAGGCGGCAUCCUGGACCGACAUUGACGCUGAUGAGCAAAAGCUAGGGGAGCAACGGG
rnacentral:rRNA from 1 species